GUGAUUAUGGUGGAGGUGUUACACCCGUUCCCAUCCCGAACACGGUAGUUAAGCCCUCCUACGCCAAUGAUACUGCUCACGCGGGAAAGUAGGUCAUCGCCAGAC
rnacentral:rRNA from 1 species